AUUGAUAAUAAUCUGAACAGAUAAUAAUCUGUUACCCCCCGUAACAUUUUACAGUGAUUCUUAGCCAUUCUGGGACCUCACUCUGUAGACCUCAGCAGUGGAAACAAAGCCUUGUUUAUACAGGUUCAAUAUCCCUCGUCAAGGAAUGUGAGAUGCCUUAAAACUGGAGAUAUUCUCAACACCGAGCUGUGGGACAACUAGUCCUGAACUCACGAGGGAGUUUGUAGUCAAAACAGAUCAUUGAACUGAGACUUUAUAUGCCUAGGGCACAUAGGAUCUCAUUAGGACUUGGGGGAGGGUCUGUCCUCAAUCAGGGGAGAGCCUGAAUCCGCUUUGCAUCAGACGUCUCUGACAGAGGAGUCCUGGUCGCUCCUGGGAGCGCUUGUAGAGUCCUUUGUCAGGGGAACAGUCCAUAGGAUGGCAUCUCUCUGGGUCACAUACCAGAGAGAGACACUUCACUGCAUGCUGCAUCUACUGAAGGGCGGAGGGAUGGAGGAAGGGAGGGUCGGGCGGAGAGGGAGAGUGCACACUACCCUGAGUGGUAUCCAGUCAGUGGCAAGCUGAUUUUGCCAUGAGAAGAUACGGGGACCAGCAGCAAUAUUUCAUGAUUUCAUAGUUAGCAGAUAUUGCCCUUUUCCCUUGGGGUGCAGCAAGGGAGGGAGGGUAGUAUGUGUUUCAUUUUGGAAGAGAAAAUUAAAUUGGAACUAUUUUCUAGAAACUUCGAAAAGUCCACUCAGUUUGCCUGGGAGAGAGUGCUCACUGUGUGAUAAUGUAUCCCAUGUUACAAAAGAAUUUGUGUGUGUGUGUGUAUGUGUGCAUAUACACAGGCAUAUAUACAUACACACAUGUAUGCAUACAUAUAUACAUAAACAUGUAUAUAUAUGUAUGCAAACAUAUAUGUAUACACAUAUGUAUGUAUAUGUCCCCAUGCAGCUAUUUGAUACUUGUAAGUUUAGACUUCAACUUUACAUAAAAUAAUAUGAAAACUUCUCUGGUUUACAAAGUGUAAAAUCUUAUACAAGCCAAUGGAUUUCCUACCUCACUGUACACUCGGCUGUCUGUCAUCAGUUCUUGUGUGUUUGCUUUAAAUGUAAAUACUUGCUUUGGAAAGUUUCCAUUUUAUGAUAAAACCCAGUUCUCUCCUCAGUUUAAAGGUAUUUGUUUUAGACACUUGGUUUAAAUUUCUCUCUAUUCAUGAACAGUUUAGCAUUAAGGGUUAAUUUUAAUGGUGUCUGGUGAUUGGCCAAGUGUAAUAUUUUUUAAAACUCAGCAUUACUUUUAACAGCCAGCAUGUAAUACAAGUGACUACACUACCUCAUCCGUACCUUCGUGAUUUUCAAGUUGUCGUAGGUGGACAGGACAGGCUUUACUUUGUCUUUUGGCCAUAAGGUAGGUGAUAAUAGAAAUAUAUCGCAUAGCAUUAUAAACACUUAUGCCUAUUUUAACAUGAACUUCUAAAAUGUUCUCUUUGCUAAGGAAAUUUGUUUUAAGGAACUAUUUGGGGGGGGAUGGGUUGCCGAAGACAAAUGCAGGAUCAUGUGUGUGUACAACGUAUGCCUUUUCCUUCAUGCAGCACUUGGACGGGGGUUUGGUUGGCGUUUUGCAUUAUCACACAAUUGGAGCUCCUUACUGUGUGAGCCAGCCUUCUCGACGCCCGGUGAUUUUUUUUUAAAAGAUGUCAUGUCUGACUCAAUACAAUAAUGUCAUCUUAAAUUUUGGCCCCUUAUUUGAAUACUAUAGCUACAAUCAAAAUAAUUUGUUAAAUUGCUUAUAUUAAGAGUAAACAUGGAUAUGACAUUGGUUGUCCACCUGCAAACUUUAGAACAAUUUACUGUAGCUUGAUGCUUAGCCAAUUUUAAGUGAGGAAUUCAACAUCUAGGACACGGAUAGUGGAGAUGGCGUGAGGGCCCUCAGCCAUGCUAACAACUUGGAAAGAAAAGAGAGAAGCCAACGGCACCGUUACAGUGAACUCUCAGGUGAACUUUUCAGUUAUGAAAACAUCUAUUUUGAAUCUGUAAAUAUUUUAACUGUUUUAUUAAGGCAUGGACUUAACUAUUCCUUGACACCUGUUGGGUAGAAUGAAAAUUUAAAGCCAUAGUGGUAAAAGAUGGCAUACUGAUUGUAAAAUAAACAAAUAAUAAUAAUGACUUUUUUGUAUCUUUCAUAAUAUAAUUUUCUAACUGCAAUAAAACCACUGAACUUAUA
rnacentral:lncRNA from 1 species